rnacentral:rRNA from 1 species
GAGGAACGCUGGCGGCGUGCCUAAUACAUGCAAGUCGAGCGAACGGACGAGAAGCUUGCUUUUCUGAUGUUAGCGGCGGACGGGUGAGUAACACGUGGAUAACCUACCUAUAAGACUGGGAUAACUUCGGGAAACCGGAGCUAAUACCGGAUAAUAUUUUGAACCGCAUGGUUCAAAAGUGAAAGACGGUCUUGCUGUCACUUAUAGAUGGAUCCGCGCUGCAUUAGCUAGUUGGUAAGGUAACGGCUUACCAAGGCAACGAUGCAUAGCCGACCUGAGAGGGUGAUCGGCCACACUGGAACUGAGACACGGUCCAGACUCCUACGGGAGGCAGCAGUAGGGAAUCUUCCGCAAUGGGCGAAAGCCUGACGGAGCAACGCCGCGUGAGUGAUGAAGGUCUUCGGAUCGUAAAACUCUGUUAUUAGGGAAGAACAUAUGUGUAAGUAACUGUGCACAUCUUGACGGUACCUAAUCAGAAAGCCACGGCUAACUACGUG